AAUUGCAACUUGUUUUGUUUUUGUUAUCAGUAACGGAGCAGUGACAUUUCCGCCGGGACCACCUCCUCCACAAGUCGCCAUGUUUGAUGGGUUGACUACAUCGCCAACAAAAUCUUUAAGUCCUGACAAAGGUGAUAUGGCCUACUCGAGAGUGGACACGUUGAUGGUCUGGGACAAGUAUCGCUACCUGCCUGGCCCACCCCCUGAGGCACAGAUGUAUCAAGUUUAGAACCAGUCUUUGGGAAAUCUAUUAACCGCCAUCACUUUCGUUCAUGUACAUCAGCUGUUUCAAACCGCGUGCUUUCUAUAUUUUUUUUUUGGCAAUGACGUAAUGGAGUUAUCGAUCUUACAUUUUGGACAACAUAGCAUCUGGAAGCGUGACGUCAUCAGUGCUUACUCCAUAGAAAAUUAUGCAGCUGGCCGAGAGAAGCUUACUGGACAGACAUAGAUCUAGGUCUAAAUGCCGUG
rnacentral:sRNA from 1 species